GUUAAGCGACUAAGCGUACACGGUGGAUGCCCUGGCAGUCAGAGGCGAUGAAGGGCGUGCUAAUCUGCGAUAAGCGCCGGUAAGGUGAUAUGAACCGUUAUAACCGGCGAUACCCGAAUGGGGAAACCCAGUGUGAUUCGUCACACUAUCAUUAACUGAAUCCAUAGGUUAAUGAGGCGAACCGGGGGAACUGAAACAUCUAAGUACCCCGAGGAAAAGAAAUCAACCGAGAUUCCCCCAGUAGCGGCGAGCGAACGGGGAGGAGCCCAGAGCCUGAAUCAGCAUGUGUGUUAGUGGAAGCGUCUGGAAAGGCGCGCGAUACAGGGUGACAGCCCCGUACACAAAAGCGCAUGUGCUGUGAGCUCGAUGAGUAGGGCGGGACACGUGGUAUCCUGUCUGAAUAUGGGGGGACCAUCCUCCAAGGCUAAAUACUCCUGACUGACCGAUAGUGAACCAGUACCGUGAGGGAAAGGCGAAAAGAACCCCGGCGAGGGGAGUGAAAAAGAACCUGAAACCGUGUACGUACAAGCAGUGGGAGCCCCACCACUAAGCCAGUGGUGAACUCCACAUACGCAUCCUUUGCUGAGGAGACGGUUAACGGAGCGAAAGCGACGUUCAACCUCAAAACAAGCAGAGGGGGCUUAGUGGUGGGGUGACUGCGUACCUUUUGUAUAAUGGGUCAGCGACUUAUAUUCUGUAGCAAGGUUAACCGAAUAGGGGAGCCGGAGGGAAACCGAGUCUUAAUUGGGCGUUAAGUUGCAGGGUAUAGACCCGAAACCCGG
rnacentral:rRNA from 1 species